GACGAACGCUGGCGGCGUGCUUAACACAUGCCAGUCGAACGCUGAAGCUCAGCUUUUGUUGGGUGGAUGAGUGGCGAACGGGUGAGUAACACGUGAGUAACCUGCCCCCUUCUUUGGGAUAACGCCCGGAAACGGGUGCUAAUACUGGAUAUUCACUGGUCUUCGCAUGGGGGUUGGUGGAAAGGGUUUUUCUGGUGGGGGAUGGGCUCGCGGCCUAUCAGCUUGUUGGUGGGGUGAUGGCCUACCAAGGCUUUGACGGGUAGCCGGCCUGAGAGGGUGACCGGUCACAUUGGGACUGAGAUACGGCCCAGACUCCUACGGGGGGCAGCAGUGGGGAAUAUUGCACAAUGGGCGCAAGCCUGAUGCAGCGACGCCGCGUGAGGGAUGGAGGCCUUCGGGUUGUGAACCUCUUUCGCUCAUGGUCAAGCCGCAACAAUGGUUGUGGUGAGGGUAGUGGGUAAAGAAGCGCCGGCUAACUACGUG
rnacentral:rRNA from 1 species